rnacentral:rRNA from 1 species
GACAGAGGGUGCAAACGUUGUUCGGAUUUACUGGGCGUAAAGCGCGUGUAGGCGGUUGUCCAAGUUGGAUGUGAAAGCCUUGAGCUUAACUCAAGAAAUGCAUUCAGGACUGGAUGACUAGAGGACCGGAGAGGAUAGUGGAAUUCCCAGUGUAGUGGUGAAAUACGUAGAGAUUGGGAAGAACACCAGUGGCGAAGGCGGCUAUCUGGACGGUUUCUGACGCUAAGACGCGAAAGCGUGGGGAGCAAACAGG